rnacentral:rRNA from 1 species
CGGCUCGGCUGAAAUAUACGAGCUAUCCAAUUUGAAAUGAACGGUUUGACUCGGCGUAAUAAUUGUUUCGCUGGGAACGUUUGAUUCAAGACAGUGGUGCUUCUAAUAUGGUUUUCCAUUUAAGCUUUAGACCUCAAAUCAGAUAGGACUACCCGCUGAACUUAAGCAUAUCAAUAAGCGGAGGAAAAGAAACUAACAAGGAUUCCCCUAGUAACGGCGAGUGAAGUGGGAAAAGCUCAACUUUGAAAUUUGGCAGCUUCGCUGUCCGAGUUGUAGUCUCGAGAAGUGUUUUCCGCGCUGGCACGUGUAUGAGUCUGUUGGAACACAGCGUCAUAGAGGGUGAGAACCCCGUUCACGACACGUCUACCAAUGCUNUGUGAUNCACUUUCGAUGAGUCGAGUUGUUUGGGAAUGCAGCUCAAAANGGGUGGUAAAUUCCAUCUAAAGCUAAAUAUUGGCGAGAGACCGAUAGCAAACAAGUACCGUGAGGGAAAGAUGAAAAGCACUUUGGAAAGAGAGUUAAAAGUACGUGAAAUUGUUGAAAGGGANACGCUAGAAGUCAGACGUCCGCGGUAUUUAUACCNCNGCAGACCAGCGUCGGUNCGUAANCCGGAUAAAGGUU